AGUUUGAUCCUGGCUCAGAACGAACGCUGGCGGCAUGCCUAAUACAUGCAAGUCGAACGAGAUCUUCGGAUCUAGUGGCGCACGGGUGCGUAACGCGUGGGAAUCUGCCCUUGGGUUCGGAAUAACAGCGGGAAACUGCUGCUAAUACCGGAUGAUGACGUAAGUCCAAAGAUUUAUCGCCCAGGGAUGAGCCCGCGUAGGAUUAGGUAGUUGGUGGGGUAAAGGCCUACCAAGCCUACGAUCCUUAGCUGGUCUGAGAGGAUGAUCAGCCACACUGGGACUGAGACACGGCCCAGACUCCUACGGGAGGCAGCAGUAGGGAAUAUUGGACAAUGGGGGCAACCCUGAUCCAGCAAUGCCGCGUGAGUGAUGAAGGCCUUAGGGUUGUAAAGCUCUUUUACCCGGGAUGAUAAUGACAGUACCGGGAGAAUAAGCCCCGGCUAACUCCGUGCCAGCAGCCGCGGUAA
rnacentral:rRNA from 1 species